GUUGCUUGGAGUUUUAUGCCUCGCAAAACAUUUGUGGAGACGGUUCAACGAUUGUUUCGUGGAUGUUGGCUAUUUUCGUCGAGUUCUUGGUUGUGGAGUUUCUAAUAAACCAAGCAAGUGAUUGUCCGGAUCGUUAUAUUAUGUAUUUUGGACCGCUUUUAGUCUUUUCCAGUUAUAAACUGUAACAAAAGUUUGCCGUGCAAGACUAGCAUUAGUAAUUUUAGUUCCGGUGUACUUUAACUGAAUGUGUUUAGUUCGGGGAUCUAAGAUGAUAUUUUGGAGAAAGGUCAUUUUGGAAGAUAUUAUUAUAGAAAAAAAAAAUGAAUUUGUAAAAUAUAUUAAAAUACCG